CCCUGAAGGCGCGCAGAUGUCAUCGCCCCCGGUUGUCAAGGUGUCUGGAUCACUCGGGAACCGCGGAACUGUCCAUCGCCCCCGGUUGUCAAGAUGCGUGGAGAGGGGAAGACCGCUACAGGGGAACAGCUCACUCUCCAUAUCGUACCACCCUGGCUUGCAUAUCACGUACACAGCUGGGACGCAACAUCCAUGAAUGACCCUGACCACUGGAGGGCCUCGAUGUUCCAGUGUAUGAGGUGGUCCAUGGUGAUAAGGAUCUGAGGGACUGGUGAGAAAGCCGAUGUUUAUUACUCUUCCCAAAUUGCCCUUGAACUGACCAGGAAACUGAACUGGAAUAGUUGUAUACACAAGUGAAGUCAAAUCAUGUUAUUGUCAUGUGUAAACUAAGGUAACUCCAUUAUGGGCACUAGAUCCCCAACACCGAGGACACCUUCAAAGAGAGAUGCCUCAGAAAGGUGGCAUCCAUCUUUAAGGACACGCUUCACCCAGGACAUGCCCUCUUCUCAUUGCUACCAUCAGGGAGGAGGUACAGGAGUCUGAAGGCACACACUCAACGAUUCAGGAACGACUUCUUCCCCUCUGCCAUCAGAUUUCUGAAUGGAUAUUGAACUCAUGCGCUAUGCAAAAGUCUCAGGCACAUAUAUAGCUCGGGUGUCUAAGACUUUUGCACAGUAGUGUAGUAAUUUUAUGUAUUGCACUGUACUGCUGCCAUAGAAAAACAAGUUUCAUAACACAUGUGAGUGAUGAUAAACCUGAUUCUGAUAUGGGUCUCUAUUAUGGAUUGAGAGUGGGAAGGGGGCAGGGAGAGAGGAAUCAUGGUUGAGAAAAGGGGAAGGGAGAGGGGAGGGAGCGGGAAGCACCAGAGAGACAUUCUGUAAGGAUCAAUUAACCAAUUGGAAUCAAAUGACCUUGCCUGGUGUCUCAGGUCUGGGUGUAUCUGCACCACAUCCUGCCCCUGGCAUUCCUUCUCUGCCACUCGUCCCACACCCCACCCGUGGUGCUACUCCCUCACCAUUCCCAACAUCCGUUACUCCUGCCAGAGUUACAAACUCGAUCUCCACUCCACAUUGACAAUUACAAUACUGCGCAGAUGUCUUAGG